rnacentral:misc_RNA from 1 species
UACGUAGGGGGGCAAGCGUUGUCCGGAAUUAUUGGGCGUAAAGCGCGCGUAGGCGGUUUCUUAAGUCUGAUGUGAAAUCUUGCGGCUCAACCGCAAGCGGUCAUUGGAAAAUGGGGAACUUGAGUCCAGAAGAGGAGAGCGGAAUUCCACGUGUAGCGGUGAAAUGCGUAGAUAUGUGGAGGAACACCAGUGGCGAAGGCGUCUCUCUGGUCUUGAACUGACGCUGAGGUGCGAAAGCGUGGGGAGCGAACAGG